GAUGAAGAACGUAGCGAAAUGCGAUAAGUAAUGUGAAUUGCAGAAUUCAGUGAAUCAUCGAAUCUUUGAACGCACAUUGAGCCCGCCAGUAUUCUGGCGGGCAUGCCUGUUCGAGCGUCAUUUCAACCAUCAAGCCCCCGGCUUGUGUUGGGGACCUGCGGCUGCCGCAGGCCCUGAAAACCAGUGGCGGGCUCGCUGUCACACCGAGCGUAGUAGAUUUUCAUCUCGCUCAGGGCGUGCUGCGGGUUCCGGCCGUAAAAAGCCUUAUUUACCCAAGGUUGACCUCGGAUCAGGUAGGAAGACCCGCUGAACUUAAGCAUAUCAAUAAGCGGAGGA
rnacentral:misc_RNA from 1 species